rnacentral:rRNA from 1 species
UACGGAGGGAGCUAGCGUUGUUCGGAAUUACUGGGCGUAAAGCGCACGUAGGCGGAUUGUUAAGUCAGGGGUGAAAUCCUGGAGCUCAACCCCGGAAUGGCCUUCGAGACUGGUGGUCUUGAGUUCGAGAGAGGUGAGUGGAAUUCCGAGUGUAGAGGUGAAAUUCGUAGAUAUUCGGAGGAACACCAGUGGCGAAGGCGGCUCACUGGCUCGACACUGACGCUGAGGUGCGAAAGCGUGGGGAGCGAACAGG